UACCAGCGCCGGAGGCAAGGAGAUUGCAAAUGGAAAUCAAUAAUGGAAAGGCCCCUGCCAUAUCUGCUAGCCAUAGCCAAAGCCAUAUAGCCUAUAUUAUGGGCCACUCUCUUACACUUGUUGUGUUCUGUUUUGUUGUUUCUCUGCUCUUCGCUGCGCUGCUCUGCUCUGCUCUGCUUUUCCUUGGCUCGAAUUCAGCUUUUUGCAUAACAGAUAUAACAAACAAACAAACAAACAAACACAUGCAUUAUUAAUUUCGCCUUUUGUUUUCCACUUGCAGUAUUCUUUGGCUGGAAUUCAGAUAUAGCCGGGGAUCGGAAUCGGGAUUGGAAUCAGAAUUGGAAACGGAAUUAAAAUCAUAUAUAUUCGGAUCAAAAAUCGCGCGAGGCAAGUGACUUUAAACGCAGAAAUCAUUGUUCAAUGACAGCAGUCGCGGCAGUUUUUACCGCUGUUGCUACUGCAUCUGCUGCUGGUCACGCCCCUUCCGAAUCCGCCCCCAAAGACGACCCCAUUGCCUCGGAUAAAGCCAAAGUGCACAGUUAACAAAGCCCCAAAGCAACCGAAACUGAAAGAUUUAGUUGUGGUCCUGGUCACAAGUGACUUCAUUGUGAAUAAGCAGAGAACGCAGGACGUAUUUAAAAUAUGCUGGAUAACUUCUCGCAGUGCACUUAAAGAUGCAUACGUGUGUGCGUGGUUGGUAUCAAAUAACGAACAGCAUCCACAACAACCAGCACUCGUUGGCAGGAUGUGCGAAACGGAGUGAUGAUGAGGCAAUUUGUUUAGGCCAGUUAUGCAUCAUUUGGGCGACAGGGCAGUUCAGUACAGAGCAUGGCAAUGGUAAUCGGUGUAUGGUGUCCGAUGUUGAAAGGAUUGUGGAUUGUGGAUUGCGGAUUGAGGACGAAGGACGAUGGGCUUAGGUAGGCAAUUCGAUUUGACGGCGCACAAUUUCCGGUCGCGCCCGGCACUGCGUUACUCAUUACAAGCGAAUAAGCGCCAAGUCCUUGCGGUCAGAAGCGCGUGCCGCCCCACUCAGCUUUAUUCGCACACACGGAAAACUUUCACAAUUAGCGGCCGGAUUCCGGCUGCGAUCCUGCAGGAUAUUUCCGGACUACCGCCGCCGGCAGCAGCAGCAGCAGCAGCUCCUCGGAUAAUGUGCGCCCAGAAAGAUCUCGCAGGCGGAGCAGUAAUGAUUCGUUGUCCGGCAGCCAUUCCAUAGAUACGGAAACAGGCAAGCGCAGCAGCACCAACUGAAAACAAAAACAUAGAUACAUAUAUACGGAUAUGAGUAUAUCAAAGUUCGAGCUGCGGAGGAGUUGGUGGCAGUGGGUUGCUUCCAUAAUCCGUGACCUGCUGCUCCGGUGCAAUGCCAAAGAUGAAGGGUCCUCCACCUACUCCUAGUGCCACUCCUGAUCCUGAUCCUGUUCCGCCUCCACAACCACCGGCAAUGAUGGGCGAUGAACUUUCCUGGACGGCAGGACGACGCAUGCAAAAGUCAUCCUCGAAGCGGGAGGCAAAAAGACCAGUGGCAUGACCGGGAUUAUCCGGAUAAUAUCUAGUGGGCGAGGAGGUGGACGUGGUGUGCGAACUGCUGCAGUUGCUCGAACUGCUCGAGCUGACCUGGCCACCCGCGGUGCCGGGCAGCAUGACCAAACCAGUUUGGCGAUCAAAGCAAAAAUCACUGGAUUGAGCCGUUGGCGACGGUGGACUGCCAUAGGGAUAGCCAAUGUGUGGACUCUGAAGGUGUUGAUUAUAUUGCUGGGACAGGGCAUCGAAGUCAUUGAAUCCAUGCAAUCCCUUCGCGCUAUCCCGUUUCUGUUGCUGCACAUAUGGUGAGAUGUAUGUCCUUAGUGGCGGCAAUGGUGGCAGAUUCUGCACUUGCAUCCCAGACUUUGCACCCUUUUUACCCACACUCAUCACAGUGAGUUGCGGUCGCCUGUCGCCCAAAAGCGGUCUCUGCGAAUUGUUAUACGGAUGGUUGCGCUGCAUACAGGUGUCCUCGUAGUCAUCCUGAUCCUGGUCAUGAUCCAUCAGAUCGUGACAGUCGUAGGUGGCCUGCAGGUGCUCAUAAUACUUGAGACUCUUCAUAUUCGCAUUUGGUGGCGGCAGAGGUGGUGGUUGCUGUUGCAUAUGUUGUUGCGGUGCUGUUAGUGGUUGCUGUUGCUGUUGCUGCAGAUGCUGUUGCUCCUGAUGCUGUUGCGGAUUGCCCGGGGAGUCCAGAAUCUCAAUGCCACCCGUUGUCACGCCCCCAAACAGCUUGGCCAAUUUCACAGUCAUCUCUCCUGCGUGCCAGAGUUGGCAAAACUUUUUCAAUUAAAAUGUUGCCCAAUGCCAAAGACAAUGACAGUUGGCUGGGGAGAACGACGACGAUGGCGAUGACGACACAAGUUUGCCACAAUUUUCCACCAGUUUGCGUUGCUGCAGGAGAGUCAAAGAACGAGAAUUUGUACAUAUAUAUUUGAAAAAGAUUCGCAUUUAUUGGCAGUAAAAUUCAUAUAUACAUAUAGGAAAUAGCCUAGUAUUUCGCAACUCUUUUGCAUGUUGCAGCUGUUGUACUUCUGAUUGCACCUCCUUUGAGCCAAGAACCAGUAACGGAAACUGUAAUGGGAUAUGUCAGCCACAAUUGCAACUUUAGUCACCAGAGCAACAUCAGUUGAUGCAAUUGUUGCAGCCACAGCGGAAGCAAGAGGAGGAGCUCUUAGCAACUUAUGUUAUUAUAGAUACAGUAACUGUAACAGGAACCACAAACAACAGGAACUAUAACAACCAGAAUCUCUGUCAGCAG
ensembl:ncRNA asRNA:CR44894 antisense RNA:CR44894